rnacentral:lncRNA from 1 species
AUUGGCCAAAAGAUAGAGUGUGUCCCCAAGCAAGGCCAAUCAGAAUCCUCCUCUGGAAAAAUACGAGCCACUCACGUGUGGGCACUGCCAAGGCUGCAGGGCUGACCCAGCACGUGGAGACGGCAGGAUCAGGGAUGUGAGAGAGAGGGCAAGACCUCCGCUAAAGAAGAGACAAGCAGACGUGAGAGUCUGGGGGAGUGCCUUGGGAUUUUGAGCGCCUGAGGCUGUGGUUGCUUCCUUGGGUCUAUGAGCCAGAGCCUUCCAGGCCACAUGAAGCCUAACUCUCCUGGAGCUGGGGUGAACUAGGGUCUGUUACUCAACUGAGAGAGGCCAGGUUAAGACAAUAUUUCCGUCUCCCCUGUAGAAAUGAGGGCUACUUGAGGGAAGGGACUGGGGCUUCUUCAUCUCUAUUGAGAGGUGAAGCAAGCUGGACUUCCUGCAUAAAGGGCGGACUUGGAGAACUUUUCUGUCUAGCUAAAGGAAUGUAAAUGCACCAAGCAGCGCUCUGUAUCUAGCUAACGCUUUGUAAACGCACCAAUCAGCACUCUGUAAAAACGGACCUAUCAGCUCUCUGUAAAAUGGACCAGUCAACGCUCUAUAAAAUGGACCAAUCAGCAGGAUGUGGGCGGGGCCAAAUAAGGAAAUAAACGCUGGUCCCUAGAGCCCGCAACAGCAACCAGCUCAGGUCCCUUUCCAAGCUGGGAAGCUUUGUUCUUUCUCUUUGCUCUUCCUAAUAAAUCUUGCUGCUGCUCACUCUUUGGGUCUGCAUUACCUUUAUGAGGUGUAACACUCACUGCAGAGGUCUGCCGCUUCCCUCCUGAAGUCAGGGAGACCGCAAACCCACUGGAAGGGAGAAACUCCGGACACAUCUGAACAUCUGAAGGAACAAACUCCGGACAUGCCAUCUUUAAGAACUGUAACACUCACGGCUAGGAUCUGCAGCUUCAUUCUUGAAGUCCGCGAGACCAAGAACCCACCGGAAGGAAUAAAUUCUGAACGCACUAGUGCAGUGCCUGAAGGCAUCAGGCACAGCCAGAUGGGCUGCCGUUGGUUGCAAGCCUGGAAGAGUCAGAAAGAAACCUGAGGCUGUCAAGGAAGCUUGAAGGUGGGUCUUCAACUCUGGGCCCAGAAGGAGCAUCACCUCCACCUGGCCUUGUCUGGUUCAUCUACAGCCUGCAGGAAGAGAGGGGGAGGGGGGAGAGGGGGAAAGGGAGAGAGGAAGAGAGGGGAGAGGAAGACAGGGGAGAGGAAGAGAGAGAGAGGGAGAGGGACAGAGGGAGAGAGGGAGAGGAAGAGAGGAGGGAGGGAGGGAGAGAGAGAGAGAGAGAGAGA